GGGCUGCGGUAUUAUGACCGUGCUAAGGUAGCAUAAUCAUUAGUCUUUUAAUUGAAGACUGGAAUGAAUGGUGUGACGAAAAGUAAUCUGUUUCUUAGAUAAGAGUUGAAUUUUACUUUUAAGUGAAAAGGCUUAAAUGUUAUUAAGGGACGAUAAGACCCUAUAAAACUUAAUGUUACUGGCUAAUUCUAGUUUUAGUGUAAGGAGGGUUUUAGCCCAGUUCUAUUUAGUUGGGGCGACUAAGAUAUAAGAAGUAUCUGUUUAGUUUAGUAGAAUAAAAUAAAUUGUUAUAAAAACCUUUAUUAAGGAUUAAAAUAAAGUUACUUUAGGGAUAACAGCGUAAUUUUUUCUGAGAGUUCUUAUCGAAGAAAGUAGUUGCGACCUCGAUGUUGAAUUAAAAUUUUUAUUAAACGCAGGAGUUUAAAAAAUAAGUCUGUUCGACUUUUGAAAUUU
rnacentral:rRNA from 1 species